rnacentral:tRNA from 1 species
UCUGGUAAAAAGGAGAUUCAAACUCCCAUAAACAAAUUUACAGUCCACCGCCUAAUCCUCGGCCACUUUACCU